rnacentral:rRNA from 1 species
GCUGUUAGAGGUGAUGAUAAUUUGUUAGGUUGUUCUUGAAAAAAUUCACGUGGGGCGUUAAUGGGGGUCGUGUGGCCUGCUGAGUAAGUGGUGGCGUGCUAAUCUGGGUGUUUAGACUUAGAUUGUCGGUAGUAACUAGAUUAUGGAGAUGCCACACGUACAUCGUUGAAGGCAACCGACUGGCACGAAGUGGACGUCCCUUAUAAGGUGGAUGCGCACACUACAGGGAUGUUAGUGCGUUUACAUUAGCGAUUGAAGAGGCACUAACGUAGAGAAGAUCGGGGACGGAGGGGCGUGGAUAGCGGUGGCGGGGAGCGAUUUUAUUUUGGGUGUGCGGGCUGCCGGCUGCUGCGUGCUGGGAGGAGGGAGCUCGUCGUCGUUGCCUCGCCGCUCAUCCCCGAGUUGGAUACAGCUGCCCGCCGCACCAGGGAGAGGAGGUAGCUCAUCGCCGUCGCCGUGCCCUGCGUCGCCCGAGCCGGAAGCAGCCACCGCCGUCCCAGGGAAAGGAGGGAGCUGGUAGCCGCCGCCGUGGCUUACGUUGUCCGCCGGUCCCUCUGCCGCGACGCACGUUCCGCGCCGUUGCUUCGACUCCCUCGGCCGGGAACACCGUGCCCCCGCGCUGCCAAGGUACCGCCGACACCCCACCUCCCGCGCACGCACUUCCGCCGCGUAAGGAAACCGAAAGCCGUACGGCGCCGUAACUGAAGGGACGACAGCAGCACGAGGGACUACGGUCGAGGAGGAAGGAGGGCGGCGACCUGUACGUGUUGUGGUAGGGUACGGGAGACAGGCGACCGGUCUCUUUCCGUAGUCACUCUUUAUACCUACUACGUGCGCUUGCCUAACCGUGAGGGUAGAGGUGACGUGACUUCCUCUAGUUCGGGUAAAGGUAGUCGUAGUUGAUCUUGGAGGGGAGCUGGACGUAGGAACGGAAAGAAAACAUAGAGGGGUUCUGACAGUUUGGUCUACUCGGACUUUCCUUGGUUCUCUUUACUGAUAAGUAAACCGAAACCAUAAUGAUAACAACUACUUGACGAGUAAACGGUCUGACAGUUUGGUCUACUCGGACUUUCCUUGAUUCUCUUUACUGAUAAGUAAAUGGUUAGAACGGUAAGAGACAUAACAGUUAAACGGUUAAGCUGACUACGAACUUACAUAAUCAUCUGUUUUACUGUACAAACAACUAGUCGAUACUAUACACAAAGGUAACCGAUGAACGGCGAAAGAUUCCCCGUCUAAAAUCGAACUGUUCUAAACACGUUUUUGUAUCGUCACGAGAACUAGACUACCUUUGAGUCUCAUCCCACAAGGUUUGAUCUAACUAUGUGCAUUCUUAAAAACUGACUAAAAAUACGAGUCUCGAUGUAUGUACGAGCGUCGCGAAGUGGAUAGGAUCUUGAAAGUAAAGUUAAAAACACAGCGAUGUUAAACAGGUAAUUAGCUAUAAGAUCGAGGUAAUUAACCAUAAGAUCGACUUUCAAAGUUUCAACAGUUAACAAAAGCUUUGAGCCAAGUGUCUCACCGACCAGGAAAAAACCCUGUAUAAACAACACAGAAAAGGGGUAAAACAGAACAUAAAACAGUAUGUGUCAAGUUAAUCGAUUAACAAUAAUACGGUAUCCAUUUAACACGUUGGAUAACGGCGAGACGGUACCCAGUGUACCAGCAGGAAGUAUGUGGCGAAAUGAUCCUGAUUGCGACUUCAUGUCUACUACCACAUAUUUUAAAGUUUUCUUCAACGGAGAACAAACCUGUGGGGCUUCGUGCCCGACCGUUCUGAUUCUAACCCGUUUCUCUCGAAGUCCUCCUGGCAAAUACUGUGGAGUGAGCUGCCAAAUAAGAAGUUCGUUCCUACCUUCUUCAAGGAGUGCUCUGUACUUUACUCUAAUCGUGACGAUAUGAUUAAUGUAAAUUCUGACAACGGUUGUUACUCAACCUCUAAUAUCAGUAGGAAAAUACAGGAAACUCUUCUAGUACAACCUGUUCAAGGUCCGAAAGUACUCAAUAAAUCAGUAAAGAGUCGCAAAAAAUUUGGUACCUCCUCUUGACGUACACUUGAAGUAUCUAUGCUCUUCUUUUCUUAUUUCCGUACAUUUUUCAAGUUAAGUAAAAGACAAAUAAAACAAAGGAGAAAGAGAUACAUGACCAAAAACUUGACACCAAACACUUAGCCUACAUAUAUAAGUACAAAAUCACACAAACAAGUGAAUAAACGUUAGCCA